AGCAGCCGCGGUAAUUCCAGCUCCAAUAGCGUAUAUUAAAGUUGUUGCAGUUAAAAAGCUCGUAGUUGAAUUUCGGGGUCAGUAGAUUGGUCGUGCCACUGGUAUGCACUGGUCUUACUGGCUCCUCCUUCCUGAUGAACCGUAAUGCCAUUAAUUUGGUGUUGCGGGGAGACUGGACUGUUACUUUGAAAAAUUAGAGUGUUCAAAGCAAGCUAACGCUUGAAUACAUUAGCAUGGAAUAAUGAAAUAGGACGUUCGAUCCUAUUUUGUUGGUUUCUAGGAUUGACGUAAUGAUUAAUAGGGAUAGUUGGGGGCAUUAGUAUUCAAUUGUCAGAGGUGAAAUUCUUGGAUUUUAUGAAG
rnacentral:rRNA from 1 species